GAAAAAGUGAAGCAUCAGUUCCACAAGCAGGCAAGUUAUUUAAGGCCCAGUGGUUAUGCAAUGAGAUAUUGUUAUCCAUCAUCCAACCAUGUGCAGUUCAGCCAGAGAAAGCACAGUUUAGAACACUCUUUUGCUCCUGUUUUUCAGAAUCUUUUUAUUAUUUAGUACAUUAGAUUAUGUAAAACCGUUUUCAAAGUGCUUAAAGCUUUUUAGGCACUGAAAAGGGAACAUAUGAACACACUUCUGGGUUCACGCAUUCCAUUGGUAAAUUAAGUGAUGCUACACUGAGGUAAUUUCUUCUAUAUUUAUUAUUAUUAUUUUUUCAAGUUCAUCCACUGUAUUUUCUGGACCACCUUUGCA